GAUGUUUUAUCAUUAUCAUUUCCAAUGAUGAAAUCCUACCCCCUGUUUUAAUUACGGAUAUGAUGGCUCAUAUUCCCACUCCAAAUCUCUAUCCUGCCAGCAGCCUUGACUCUAUCUACAUCCCUUGUCAGCCUGGUUCAUUCUUUUACAGCAAUAUACUGGCCGCAGUAUUAAUAUGCCUCUGAGAGUCAUUUUUUUGGAGCUUAUAGCGCCAUCGAAAGCUUGAUAAUUAUCUACAAUGCAGGUUCAUGAAUAGACAUACUUCUAUUGCCAAAACAUUAUCAUCGAUGAGAGAUUGUAUUCUCCCAAACUUCCUCCCACGAACAGCACUAUUUUGCACUAUCAAUCCAAAGAAGCUCCAGUAGCUUGAAAAGGCCUC
rnacentral:sRNA from 1 species